UCUCAAACAUUGUUAACAAAUCAGUCUAAAUGUGUGAUAGUGAGCACUUCUGCUUUGCUGAGAUAAUCCAUCCCACCUCACAGGUGUGCCACAUCAAGAUGCUGAUCUGACAUCAUGAGUAGUGCACAGGUGUACCUGAUACUGCCCACAAUGAAAGGCCACCCUGAAAUGUGCAGUUUUGUCUCACAGCAAAAUGCCACAGAUGCCACAAGCAUUGAGGGAGCAGGCAAUUGGCAUGCUGACAGCAGGAAUGUCAACCAGAUCUGUUGUUUGUGCAUUGAAUGUUCAUUUCUCCACCAUAAGCUGUCUCCAAAGGCGUUUCAGAGAAUAUGGCCCAACAUCCAACCGGCCUCACAACCGCAGACCACGUGUAACCACACCAGCCCAGGACCUCCACAUCCAGCAGGAGGCAUUUUAGCACAUAACACCUGUUUGUGUCUGCGGUAAAGUUAGUUUUAUAUUCGCAUCUCCGAAUUCAAUAGCUGCGUAAAUAAACCCGCAAAUAAGAUACCCACAUAUAUUUCCUCUCUACAUUGUCUUUGAGCCACAUCCGCCUUAAAUUAUACAUGUUUAAAAGCAUAAACACCAUUAUUCUCUACGACGCAACAAAUAAUUUAGGGAUCAUCGCAAAAUGCCGCACAGCAACAAAAAGCGUAGAACGAUAUUGAUCUUCCCUUCUGUUCAGCGCCUGAAGGAUUAAAAAGCAACUUUAUCGUACUGGAAACUAGAAAUGCCAGACUAGUAAUGUUUAACAAAAAUACAGAAACAUCAGCAUACACAUUGGAAUAAAUGAAAUUACAUACAUAAUACCGAAUGUUUCCUUAUAUAUAUUGUUCCUCUGCAAUUAACAUGCCGACGUUAAACCGUUAUUGUUGCACUAUGGUUUCACUUUUUCUCGAAUGUUAUUUUAAUUUACUUGUAUUAAUGAUCCAUUUCUUUACAUGUGAUUGUUUAGUUUCGAGUGUCUGAUCUUUAUUGUCCAUAAAGAAAAGCAUGAAUUAGAAUAGGUACUUUCCUAUUAUUUUCCACUAAAUCCCGUUCAUUGCGCCCCACCUGUUAUGCCUGUAUUCCCCACUAGUGGGGCGCGCCCCAUACUUUGAGAACCACUGGCCUAGGGUUUUCCUGGAAAGCACGACCUACAUUCUUGAAGUUUUGACCCUUGAGCUUACAUUCAUAAUUCUGCACAAGACCGAGGGAUUUCACAGAUUCCAGGCAGAAAUGGCUUUACAAUCAAACACUGUUCUGGAAUCUCGUCACAUGGAUGCCCCGUGUGUCUCUUUGGGAUGUGUCUGGGGAUAAUUCUCUCUACCCACUGUAGAAGAUGGUUCUGGCCUUGACUGGUGUUGGCAACUGUUUCUCUGGGGAUUUGACAGUUCGAUAGUUCAGUACUGGAACUUCCUACAAGUCUACCUGGGUCUUCAAUAACUACCUGGACUCCAUAUUAACAUUAAUUAACAUCAGCUAUUAUAGCUGAACUGCCUGC